rnacentral:rRNA from 1 species
GUCUGUGCGAAGGUAUGUAAAGUCUGGCCUGCCCACUGACUUAGUAUGUUUAAAGGGCCGCGGUAUUUUGACCGUGCGAAGGUAGCAUAAUCAUUAGUCUUUUAAUUGGAGGCUUGUAUGAAUGGUCGGACAAAAAGUAAGCUGUCUUCAGCUGUAAAAAUUGAAUUUGACUUUUAAGUGAAAAGGCUUAAAUAAAAUAAAGUGACGAUAAGACCCUAUAAAGCUUUAUAGUGUAACUUUUUAUUAUAAAUUAUAAAAUUGUAUGACUUAAUUUAAAGUAAAACUCUUUUGUUGGGGCGACGGAAAUAUAAUAAAAUAACUGUUUUUGUUUAAGCAAAACAAAUGUGUUUGGAAAUAAUAAAUGAUCCUUUAUUAAAGAUUAAAAGAUUAAGUUACUUUAGGGAUAACAGCGUAAUCUUCUUUGAGAGUUCAUAUCGACAAGAAGGGUUGCGACCUCGAUGUUGAAUUAAGGUUCCUGCGUGGUGUAGCAGUUGCGACUAGGAGGUCUGUUCGACCUUUAAAUCCUUACAUGAUUUGAGUUCAGACCGGCGUAAG